CUUUGAGAUAUGAAUAUAUUUGGCAUGUAGUGCAAAUAUGAACUGUUGAUGAUUAUAUUUGGCCUGUAGUGCAAAUAUGAACUGUUGAGGAAUAUCUUUGACCUGUAGUGCAAAGAUGAAUUAUUGAUGAAUAUCUUUGGCCCGUAGUGCAAAGAUGACCUGUUGUUGAAUAUCUUUGGCCUGUAGUACAAAGAUGACCUGUUGUUGAAUAUCUUUUGCCUGUAGUGCAAAGAUGAAAUGAUAAUGAAUAUUUUUAGCCUGUAGUGCAAAGAUGAAUUAUUG
rnacentral:lncRNA from 1 species